CCUACGGGUGGCAGCAGUGGGGAAUAUUGGGCAAUGGAGGCAACUCUGACCCAGCAACGCCGCGUGAAUGAUGAAGGUCUUCGGAUUGUUAAGUUCUGUUAUGGGGGAUGAACACACUGACGGUCCCCCACUAGCAAGUCACGCCUAACUACGUGCCACCAGCCGCGGUAAUACGGCGGGUCCGGGUGUUCUCCGGAUUCAUGCGGUUUAAGGGGUGCUUAGGCGGCCUUUUAAGUCAGCGGGUAAAGUCUGUGGGCUAACCAUAGCAGUGCCGUGGAAACUGGGAGGCUUGAGUAUGUUUGAGGCAGGCGGAAGGCGCGGUGUAGCGGUGAAAUGCAUAGAUAUCGCGCAGAACCCCGAUUGCGAAGGCAGCCUGCC
rnacentral:rRNA from 1 species